GAUGAACGCUGGCGGCGUGCCUAAUACAUGCAAGUCGAGCGAACAGACGAGGAGCUUGCUCCUCUGACGUUAGCGGCGGACGGGUGAGUAACACGUGGAUAACCUACCUAUAAGACUGGGAUAACUUCGGGAAACCGGAGCUAAUACCGGAUAAUAUAUUGAACCGCAUGGUUCAAUAGUGAAAGACGGUUUUGCUGUCACUUAUAGGUGGAUCCGCGCCGCAUUAGCUAGUUGGUAAGGUAACGGCUUACCAAGGCAACGAUGCGUAGCCGACCUGAGAGGGUGAUCGGCCACACUGGAACUGAGACACGGUCCAGACUCCUACGGGAGGCAGCAGUAGGGAAUCUUCCGCAAUGGGCGAAAGCCUGACGGAGCAACGCCGCGUGAGUGAUGAAGGUCUUCGGAUCGUAAAACUCUGUUAUUAGGGAAGAACAAAUGUGUAAGUAACUAUGCACGUCUUGACGGUACCUAAUCAUAAAGCCACGGCUAACUACGUG
rnacentral:rRNA from 1 species